GAGUUUGAUCCUGGCUCAGGAUGAACGCUGGCGGCGUGCUUAACACAUGCAAGUCGAACGGAGUACCCCUGAAGGAGUUUUCGGACAACUGAUGGGACUACUUAGUGGCGGACGGGUGAGUAACGCGUGAGUAACCUGCCUUGGAGUGGGGAAUAACAGCUGGAAACAGCUGCUAAUACCGCAUAAUAUGUCUGUGUCGCAUGGCACUGGACAUCAAAGAUUUAUCGCUCUGAGAUGGACUCGCGUCUGAUUAGCUAGUUGGCGGGGUAACGGCCCACCAAGGCGACGAUCAGUAGCCGGACUGAGAGGUUGGCCGGCCACAUUGGGACUGAGACACGGCCCAGACUCCUACGGGAGGCAGCAGUGGGGAAUAUUGGGCAAUGGGCGCAAGCCUGACCCAGCAACGCCGCGUGAAGGAAGAAGGCUUUCGGGUUGUAAACUUCUUUUCUCAGGGGCGAAGCAAGUGACGGUACCUGAGGAAUAAGCCACGGCUAACUACGUGCCAGCAGCCGCG
rnacentral:rRNA from 1 species